rnacentral:rRNA from 1 species
CCGUGAGGGAAAGUUGCAAAGCACUUUGAAGAGAGAGUUAAAUAGGACGUGAAACCGGUGAGGUGGAAACGGAUAGAGCCAGCGUAUCUAGCCUGCAUUCAACUGUGUGGUAGUCGCGCGCCGCAGCCCUGGCGACUCCAGAUUGGGACGGGGUUGUGGUUGUACACAGCCCGCGGUGCAUUUGCAGGUGUGUGCGCUGAGCUGUUCGAGGCGGUGGAAUGAACUUGGUUUUGAGGCCAGCUUGCUGGUACCCGGACUGAGGGAGUGCCAUUCGCUUUGGGCUUGAGCAGGGGACAUGGCUUACGGGCUCGUAUGGGCGCCGAGCUGGUCGUCGGAAGCGGUCGCAUGCGACACGUGCCGUGCGUGUCAGUUCGGUCCUGUGCGAGCUCACAUGUUCCCAGGGCUCAGUGUAAAAGCUGGUCAUCUAUCCGACCCGUCUUGAAACACGGACCAAGGAGUUUAUCGUGUGCGCAAGUCAUUGGGUGUUGAAAACCCAGAGGCGCAAUGAAAGUGAAGGCAUCCCUUGCGGAGCCGACGUGCGAGUCCGGGCACCACGGUGCCAGGAUGCAGCAUGGCCCCAUCCUGACUGCUUGCAGUGGGGUGGAAGAAGAGCGUACGCGGUGAGACCCGAAAGAUGGUGAACUAUUCCUGAGCAGGAUGAAGCCAGAGGAAACUCUGGUGGAAGUCCGAAGCGAUUCUGACGUGCAAAUCGAUCGUCUGACUUGGGUAUAGGGGCGAAAGACUAAUCGAACCAUCUAGUAGCUGGUUCCUUCCG